CCUACGGGAGGCAGCAGUGAGGAAUAUUGGUCAAUGGACGAGAGUCUGAACCAGCCAAGUAGCGUGAAGGAAGACUGCCCUAUGGGUUGUAAACUUCUUUUAUAUGGGAAUAAAAUGUUCCACGUGUGGGAUUUUGUAUGUACCAUAUGAAUAAGGAUCGGCUAACUCCGUGCCAGCAGCCGCGGUAAUACGGAGGAUCCGAGCGUUAUCCGGAUUUAUUGGGUUUAAAGGGAGCGUAGGUUGAUUGUUAAGUCAGUUGUGAAAGUUUGCGGCUCAACCGUAAAAUUGCAGUUGAAACUGGCAGUCUUGAGUACAGUAGAGGUGGGCGGAAUUCGUGGUGUAGCGGUGAAAUGCUUAGAUAUCACGAAGAACUCAGAUUGCGAAGGCAGUUCACUGGACUGCAACUGACACUGAGGCUCGAAAGUGUGGGUAUCAAACAGGAUUAGAUACCCGAGUAGUC
rnacentral:rRNA from 1 species